GGCUUGUUGAUUAUUAUUUCAGGUCUGACCUGCCCACUGAUGAAAUUAAAUGGCCGCGGUAUUUUGACCGUGCAAAGGUAGCAUAAUCACUAGUUUUUUAAUUGAAAGCUUGUAUGAAGGGUUUGAUGAAAAAAAGGCUGUCUCUGGGAAAGUUUAUUAAAAUUUUAUUUUUAAGUGAAAAAGCUUAAAUAUUUAUAGAAGACGAGAAGACCCUAUAGAGUUUUAUAAGUAGGUUUAAUAUUGUGUUUAGGUAUACUGUUUUUUUAUUAUUUUUUAUUUAUUUUAUUGGGGUGAUGGGAAAAUUAAUUUAACUUUUCUUUAUUUUUAUACUAAUUUGUAAGUUUAUGAUCCUAUGGUUUAGAUUAGAAGAAUAAAUUACCUUAGGGAUAACAGCGUAAUUUUUCUUAGAGUUCAUAUCGAAAGAAUAGAUUGCGACCUCGAUGUUGGAUUAAAAUUAAUUACUGGUGCAGUAGCUGGUAAAUUAGGUCUGUUCGACCUUUAAAAUUUUACAUGAUCUGAGUUUAAACCGGUGUGAG
rnacentral:rRNA from 1 species